rnacentral:rRNA from 1 species
GAUGAACGCUAGCUACAGGCUUAACACAUGCAAGUCGAGGGGAAACGGCAUCGAAAGCUUGCUUUUGAUGGGCGUCGACCGGCGCACGGGUGAGUAACGCGUAUCCAACCUGCCCAUCACUUGGGAAUAACCUUGCGAAAGUAAGACUAAUGCCCAAUGACAUCCCACGAAGGCAUCCGAAUGGGAUUAAAGAUUUAUCGGUGAUGGAUGGGGAUGCGUCUGAUUAGCUUGUUGGCGGGGUGACGGCCCACCAAGGCAACGAUCAGUAGGGGUUCUGAGGGGGAGGGGCCCCACAAUGGGAAUGAGAACCCGGCCAAAAACCCACGGGAGGCAGGAGUUAGGGAAAUUGAUCAAAGGGGGAGAGCCUGAAACCGCCAAAUAGCGGGCAGGAUGACGGCCCUUUGGGUUGUAAACUGCUUUUAAGAGGGAAAAAAAUGGGUUACGUGUGGCUUUUUGCAUGUACCUUAUGAAUAAGGACCGGCUAAUUCCGUG